GUUAUAUGGUCAAGUGAAGAAGCGCAUACGGUGGAUGCCUUGGCAGUCAGAGGCGAUGAAAGACGUGGUAGCCUGCGAAAAGCUUCGGGGAGUCGGCAAACAGACUUUGAUCCGGAGAUCUCUGAAUGGGGGAACCCACCUAGGAUAACCUAGGUAUCUUGUACUGAAUCCAUAGGUGCAAGAGGCGAACCAGGGGAACUGAAACAUCUAAGUACCCUGAGGAAAAGAAAUCAACCGAGAUUCCCUUAGUAGUGGCGAGCGAACGGGGAUUAGCCCUUAAGCUUCAUUGAUUUUAGCGGAACGCUCUGGAAAGUGCGGCCAUAGUGGGUGAUAGCCCCGUACGCGAAAGGAUCUUUGAAGUGAAAUCGAGUAGGACGGAGCACGAGAAACUUUGUCUGAACAUGGGGGGACCAUCCUCCAAGGCUAAAUACUACUGACUGACCGAUAGUGAACCAGUACCGUGAGGGAAAGGCGAAAAGAACCCCGGAGAGGGGAGUGAAAUAGAACCUGAAACCGUAUGCGUACAAGCAGUGGGAGCCUACUUGUUAGGUGACUGCGUACCUUUUGUAUAAUGGGUCAGCGACUUAUAUUCAGUGGCAAGCUUAACCGUAUAGGGUAGGCGUAGCGAAAGCGAGUCUUAAUAGGGCGUUUAGUCGCUGGGUAUAGACCGAAACCGGGCGAUCUAUCCAUGAGCAGGUUGAAGGUUAGGUAACACUGACUGGAGGACCGAACCCACUCCCGUUGAAAAGGUAGGGGAUGACUUGUGGAUCGGAGUGAAAGGCUAAUCAAGCUCGGAGAUAGCUGGUUCUCCUCGAAAGCUAUUUAGGUAGCGCCUCAUGUAUCACUCUGGGGGGUAGAGCACUGUUUCGGCUAGGGGGUCAUCCCGACUUACCAAACCGAUGCAAACUCCGAAUACCCAGAAGUGCCGAGCAUGGGAGACACACGGCGGGUGCUAACGUCCGUCGUGAAAAGGGAAACAACCCAGACCGCCAGCUAAGGUCCCAAGUUGUGGUUAAGUGGUAAACGAUGUGGGAAGGCUUAGACAGCUAGGAGGUUGGCUUAGAAGCAGCCACCCUUUAAAGAAAGCGUAAUAGCUCACUAGUCGAGUCGGCCUGCGCGGAAGAUGUAACGGGGCUCAAACCACACACCGAAGCUGCGGGUGUCACGUAAGUGACGCGGUAGAGGAGCGUUCUGUAAGCCUGUGAAGGUGAGUUGAGAAGCUUGCUGGAGGUAUCAGAAGUGCGAAUGCUGACAUGAGUAACGACAAUGGGUGUGAAAAACACCACGCCGAAAGACCAAGGGUUCCUGCGCAACGUUAAUCGACGCAGGGUUAGUCGGUUCCUAAGGCGAGGCUGAAAAGCGUAGUCGAUGGGAAACAGGUUAAUAUUCCUGUACUUCUGGUUACUGCGAUGGAGGGACGGAGAAGGCUAGGCCAGCUUGGCGUUGGUUGUCCAAGUUUAAGGUGGUAGGCUGAAAUCUUAGGUAAAUCCGGGGUUUCAAGGCCGAGAGCUGAUGACGAGUCGUCUUUUAGAUGACGAAGUGGUUGAUGCCAUGCUUCCAAGAAAAGCUUCUAAGCUUCAGGUAACCAGGAACCGUACCCCAAACCGACACAGGUGGUCGGGUAGAGAAUACCAAGGCGCUUGAGAGAACUCGGGUGAAGGAACUAGGCAAAAUGGCACCGUAACUUCGGGAGAAGGUGCGCCGGCUAGGGUGAAGGAUUUACUCCAUAAGCUCUGGCUGGUCGAAGAUACCAGGCCGCUGCGACUGUUUAUUAAAAACACAGCACUCUGCAAACACGAAAGUGGACGUAUAGGGUGUGACGCCUGCCCGGUGCCGGAAGGUUAAUUGAUGGGGUUAGCGCAAGCGAAGCUCUUGAUCGAAGCCCCGGUAAACGGCGGCCGUAACUAUAACGGUCCUAAGGUAGCGAAAUUCCUUGUCGGGUAAGUUCCGACCUGCACGAAUGGCGUAACGAUGGCGGCGCUGUCUCCACCCGAGACUCAGUGAAAUUGAAAUCGCUGUGAAGAUGCAGUGUAUCCGCGGCUAGACGGAAAGACCCCGUGAACCUUUACUGUAGCUUUGCACUGGACUUUGAGCCUGCUUGUGUAGGAUAGGUGGGAGGCUUUGAAGCGUGGACGCCAGUUCGCGUGGAGCCAUCCUUGAAAUACCACCCUGGCAUGCUUGAGGUUCUAACUCUGGUCCGUAAUCCGGAUCGAGGACAGUGUAUGGUGGGCAGUUUGACUGGGGCGGUCUCCUCCUAAAGAGUAACGGAGGAGUACGAAGGUGCGCUCAGACCGGUCGGAAAUCGGUCGCAGAGUAUAAAGGCAAAAGCGCGCUUGACUGCGAGACAGACACGUCGAGCAGGUACGAAAGUAGGUCUUAGUGAUCCGGUGGUUCUGUAUGGAAGGGCCAUCGCUCAACGGAUAAAAGGUACUCCGGGGAUAACAGGCUGAUACCGCCCAAGAGUUCAUAUCGACGGCGGUGUUUGGCACCUCGAUGUCGGCUCAUCACAUCCUGGGGCUGAAGCCGGUCCCAAGGGUAUGGCUGUUCGCCAUUUAAAGUGGUACGCGAGCUGGGUUUAGAACGUCGUGAGACAGUUCGGUCCCUAUCUGCCGUGGACGUUUGAGAUUUGAGAGGGGCUGCUCCUAGUACGAGAGGACCGGAGUGGACGAACCUCUGGUGUUCCGGUUGUCACGCCAGUGGCAUUGCCGGGUAGCUAUGUUCGGAAAAGAUAACCGCUGAAAGCAUCUAAGCGGGAAACUUGCCUCAAGAUGAGAUCUCACUGGGAACUUGAUUCCCCUGAAGGGCCGUCGAAGACUACGACGUUGAUAGGCUGGGUGUGUAAGCGUUGUGAGGCGUUGAGCUAACCAGUACUAAUUGCCCGUGAGGCUUGACCAUAUAACACCCAAACA
rnacentral:rRNA from 1 species